UACGAAGGGUGCAAACGUUGCUCGGAAUCAUUGGGCGUAAAGCGCACGUAGGCGGUUCGUUAUGUCGGAUGUGAAAGCCCUUGGCUUAACCGAGGAAGUGCAUCCGGAAAACUGGGCGAGCUAGAGUACGAAAGAGGAUCGCGGAAUUCCCGGUGUAGAGGUGAAAUUCGUAGAUAUCGGGAGGAACACCGGUGGCGAAGGCGGCGAUCUGGGUCGAUACUGACGCUGAGGUGGCGAAAGCGUGGGGGAGCAAACAGG
rnacentral:rRNA from 1 species